UCAGACAACCGUUGUAACCGAUGGCUAAUACCUCAUAAUACUGAGUAAGUUAAAUGAUGAAUAAUCGCCAAGAGAUGGGCUUGCGGCUGAUUAGCUAGUUGGUGGGGUAAAGCGUAACCAAGGCCAUGAUCAGUAUCUGGUCUGACCAGGAUGAUCACCCACACUGGGAUUGAGACAGGGCCCAGACUCCUACGGGAGGCAACAGUGAGGAAUUUUCCGCAAUGGGCGAAAGCCAGACGGAGCAAUGCCGCGUGAAGGAUGAAGGCCUAUGGGUUGUAAACUUCUUUUCUCAGUGAAGAAAUUUUGACGGUAUCUGAGGAAUAAGCAUCGGCUAACUCUGUGCCAGCAGCCGCGGUAAGACAGAGGAUGCAAGCGUUAUCCGGAAUGAUUGGGCGUAAAGCGUCUGUAGGUGGCUUAAAAAGUCUCCUGUCAAAGAUCAGGGCUUAACCCUGGGCCGGCAGGAGAAACUCUUAGGCUAGAGUUUGGUAGGGGCAGAGGGAAUUCCCGGUGGAGCGGUGAAAUGCGUAGAGAUCGAAUCUGCCACCAAAGGCGAAAGCACUCUCCUGGGUGA
rnacentral:rRNA from 1 species